rnacentral:rRNA from 1 species
GACGAACGCUGGCGGCGUGCCUAAUACAUGCAAGUAGGACGCACAGUUUAUACCGUAGCUUGCUACACCAUAGACUGUGAGUUGCGAACGGGUGAGUAACGCGUAGGUAACCUGCCUAUUAGAGGGGGAUAACUAUUGGAAACGAUAGCUAAUACCGCAUAACAGUAUGUAACACAUGUUAGAUGCUUGAAAGAUGCAAUUGCAUCGUUAGUAGAUGGACCUGCGUUGUAUUAGCUAGUAGGUAGGGUAAAGGCCUACCUAGGCAACGAUACAUAGCCGACCUGAGAGGGUGAUCGGCCACACUGGGACUGAGACACGGCCCAGACUCCUACGGGAGGCAGCAGUAGGGAAUCUUCGGCAAUGGGGGGAACCCUGACCGAGCAACGCCGCGUGAGUGAAGAAGGUUUUCGGAUCGUAAAGCUCUGUUGUUAAGGAAGAACGAGUGUGAGAAUGGAAAGUUCAUACUGUGACGGUACUUAACCAGAAAGGGACGGCUAACUACGUGCCAGCAGCCGCGGUAAUACGUAGGUCCCGAGCGUUGUCCGGAUUUAUUGGGCGUAAAGCGAGCGCAGGCGGUUAGAAAAGUCUGAAGUGAAAGGCAGUGGCUCAACCAUUGUAGGCUUUGGAAACUGUUUAACUUGAGUGCAGAAGGGGAGAGUGGAAUUCCAUGUGUAGCGGUGAAAUGCGUAGAUAUAUGGAGGAACACCGGUGGCGAAAGCGGCUCUCUGGUCUGUAACUGACGCUGAGGCUCGAAAGCGUGGGGAGCGAACAGG